ensembl:lncRNA
CCACCGUGCCUGGCCCUUUUUUUUUUUUUUCUGACAUAGAACGAAGAACUGCACGUGGCUUCUCUGUCUCUGUGGAAAAACCAUCUCAGGUUGGCGGCAGAUGCACCCUCAUCAGAGGGGGUCAGCGGCUCUGGUCCUCGGAACUGGUUCCUCUCUCCCACCCUAAGGGCAGCCCUCCAUGGUCCUGUCUGUCCCUCUGAAGUGUGUCCAUCCUGACCUGCAGGUCCUCAGCUGCUCCCACGCUCAUGCCAGCCCGGAGAGGACUGGUCCCGAUCACUGCAGACGUGCUGGCCUUGGUGUGUGCGGGGCUUGCCUGGGCUGGGGAGCUGUGGGGGAGCUGCCUUCGUGGGGGGCGCUGGGGAAGUAUGUCCCAGCGGCCUCGGGGUGUAAGGAGCGCUAGUGCCUUGCCCACAGGUGCCGGACCAUCUGAUGUGAUGCGAACGCUCUUCCCACAUACAUCAAACACACUUGUUACGUGAGUGUGCCCAGGGCUUCUGAUUCUGGGCCGGCCUGGCCUGGGGGUUGAGGGUCGGCAGUCAGUGAGGAAGCCAGAAGAGGCAUCCCAGCCUUCUCCCCCUACCAGCCCACUCAGGGCCUUGCUGCCCAUGGGCUGAGCCCCCCUACAACCCUAGUCAAUGGCCGUAUCCUGCAGGGCCUCUGCCACAUCUCAGCGGCCCUGGGUGAAUGGCUGGCUGCUCACCAGCUCCGCACGGAGAGCUGGGGACAGAAUCUCUGGCUGGGGAGGGGCCGCUGGAGCUGCUGGACCCUGGGGUCUCCCGAGGUGGCUCAGGGGAGCAGGCAUCUUGGGGUACCCCGGGUUGAAGCAGAGGCUGCACGUGGAAGAUGGCCCGAGUCAGCGGAUGGUGCUGGUCAGACAGGGCCGUGGUCCUGGGCGCAUCCAGGGGCCCUGUCAUGGCCACCCUGGGGACCCUGCUGGGAAGGGUUUGCACCAGCCAUUUCCUGGGCUCGUAGAUCUAGCAGGAUGUGAUGGGUGGAGGUGGGCUGGGCCUGUGCCAUGGGCCAGAGCGUCACUGGGGAGGCCCACGCUGUCAUCAGAACCCUCCCCCCAGUGCCUCCCCCACCCAAGGGCUUGCUCCCUCCGCAUCCUGCUCACUGCACCCACCGCCUACCUGCCUCUGAGUCCUGCACUCACCUGGCCACCAGGACAGGGAUGGCUGUCAGGAUGUAGUGCUCCCGGGAGCAAGCCAGGUGCUGCUGUGAGGAGACACUUGAGAGUGUUGGUGCGUGUCCACACACCUGUGCAUGCCUGUGUACACUAUGGAUGCCCAUGCACACCUGUGUAUGACUGCACACCUGUGUAUCACUGCACACCUGUGUAUGACUGCACACCUGUGUAUCACUGCACACCUGUGUAUCACUGCACACCUGUGUAUGACUGCACACCUGUGUAUCACUGCACACCUGUGUAUCACUGCACACCUGUGUAUGACUGCACACCUGUGUAUAACUGCACACCUGUGCAUGCCUGUGUACACUAUGGAUGCCCAUGCACACCUGUGUAUGCCCAUGCAUGCACACCCCCAUGUAACUCCAUGUGCACACUUGGGUUCUGCCAGUGGGGCAGUCCAGGGAUAAAAGACUCCUGA